GAUGAACGCUGGCGGCGUGCCUAAUACAUGCGAGUCGAGCGAACAGACGAGGAGCUUGCUCCUCUGACGUUAGCGGCGGACGGGUGAGUAACACGUGGAUAACCUACCUAUAAGACUGGGAUAACUUCGGGAAACCGGAGCUAAUACCGGAUAAUAUAUUGAACCGCAUGGUUCAAUAGUGAAAGACGGUUUUGCUGUCACUUAUAGAUGGAUCCGCGCCGCAUUAGCUAGUUGGUAAGGUAACGGCUUACCAAGGCAACGAUGCGUAGCCGACCUGAGAGGGUGAUCGGCCACACUGGAACUGAGACUCGGUCCAGACUCCUACGGGAGGCAGCAGUAGGGAAUCUUCCGCAAUGGGCGAAAGCCUGACGGAGCAACGCCGCGUGAGUGAUGAAGGUCUUCGGAUCGUAAAACUCUGUUAUUAGGGAAGAACAAAUGUGUAAGUAACUAUGCACGUCUUGACGGUACCUAAUCAGAAAGCCACGGCUAACUACGUG
rnacentral:rRNA from 1 species